AAUUAGUCCCUCUACCAAAACAACUAUUGAACUGGAAGGAUUUCUCAGAAUCAAGAAUUUUGAAAUUCUGGAGUCUAGUGGAACACCGUGCAGUAUCCAGGGAAGAGCUGGAGGAAGAAGAUGAGAAUGGCUCUCCACACCAAAGGAUGUUAGAAGGAGUGGCUUCAUCUGGUAACAUAAAUGUCAUGCUGUACCCUUUCCCCAAAGUUGCUGGUGCCUACUUGCCUUGGAUCUACAUGACUAAGAAAGCAGCUCAAUAAAGAAGAUAGGCUCCAAGAUUUUUUAUAUGUUUAUUAAAAAGGAAAUCUAUGAACUAGCUUGCAAAUUCAAAGGGUCCAAAGAAAGAAGAUCAUUAACUGAAGGGAGAUGGUGUUGGAGGUUUGAGGGCAGAAAAAGCAUGAAAUAAUUAUCUAAGUGAGUGAGAGAAUGAAUGAACCAGGAAAAAUAGAAUGACUGCUGGACAAGGGCCUGCUUAAGUGGCCAAACAGUAGCUUGCUCGAUGUGUCCUGAUUUGGAAUACAUUCAAGACUGCUGCUUCCCAUAAUGACUCUUCAUGUCACCAGGAUGUCAGAGGGAAAGUUUCAAGGGAAGAAAGGAAAAGACUGGAGAAUGUCUCCAGAAUUUUUCUUUGCUGCUAUAAUAUAGAAGUUAGUUUCCAAACAUGACUGAUUUAAAAGAAAAAAAGGAUUGUCUCUUGGUCCGGGAAAAAGGAUCGUUGUUCAUCUCAUCUGGUCAUCUGGAUUACCCGGCAGAAAAUGACAUCAUGAUUCAGCUGCUACAUUUCUUUAUGGGAAGGCAAUGUACUUUCAUUAUGUGAUGUAAACCCAGAUGCUGGCUGUCUGUGGCUGUUGACCUGCCUUCUGGCUUUUGUGUUCCUUGGUUUUGUCUCAGUUUUAACCCCAGGUAAACCUAGAUUCUAAAUUCAGUCAUUCCACUACACUGCAAGAACAACAAAAAAUCCACUCACAGCAAGGUUUUAGUAAGUUUCAUAGAGCUGAUUGAAGAUUAAAAGCCAUGGGUGAUAAGUGCAUCGUCACAGUCCUGUUUGCCUUAUUUUCUGUUUCUUUCUGUACCUUUCUCUUUCCCUCCAAAUUCUGUCCCUC